UUCCAGACUCCUACGGGAGGCAGCAGUGGGGGAUAUUGCACAAUGGGGGAAACCCUGAUGCAGCGACGCCGCGUGAGUGAAGAAGUAUUUCGGUAUGUAAAGCUCUAUCAGCAGGGACGAAAAUGACGGUACCUGAGUAAGAAGCCCCGGCUAACUACGUGCCAGCAGCCGCGGUAAUACGUAGGGGGCAAGCGUUAUCCGGAUUUACUGGGUGUAAAGGGAGCGUAGACGGCUGUGCAAGCCAGAUGUGAAAGCCCGGGGCUCAACCCCGGGACUGCAUUUGGAACUGUGUGGCUGGAGUGUCGGAGAGGCAGGCGGAAUUCCUAGUGUAGCGGUGAAAUGCGUAGAUAUUAGGAGGAACACCAGUGGCGAAGGCGGCCUGCUGGACGAUGACUGACGUUGAGGCUCGAAAGCGUGGGGAGCAAACAGGAUUAGAUACCCCAGUA
rnacentral:rRNA from 1 species